GAUGACUGUGUAUAGCACUAAUGCUGAACUUGCCGGAGUUGAAUGAUGCAACUAAGAUCUGGUAAUUGACUGUUGGUGUUGGUAGGCAUUGUCAACAUGCAUUGUGCAGCUUGGGGGACGUUCAAUAUGUUAGUUUUAUAUGGAAGAAUAAACUAAUGUAUUGAACUAUGGGGAAUAAUAGAAUCUGGUAUAUUGGGUGCAUUGACGUACUACUAGAAAUAUUGAAGUUGACUUGUCAUAUGGAACUAGGAGUUUGAUUUCAAAUGGAGGAAGUGAGUAUUUGAAAGUACAGGAGUUGGACAACUUGAGAAGUAGAAAUUGGCUAAACAGUUUAUGGGUGUCCUUAGCAAAUUUUGACGACUUUGAUCGUAUUGGUUUGAAGUGAUUUAUCGAUUUACUUGAAAUAAGGCGAUACGAGGAUCGAAUGCAAGUUGCAGGAUUGCAGAAGCAGAAGGAUAAGGAUUUCAGAAUGCGUGAUGCAGUAUUACUAAUUUUAAUUAGCAUCGAAGCUAGCGCUUGAAUUCCAGGUUCGUACGAAAACACGUGUUUCUAGAAGACUAGCGGACGUGUACAGGAGUAGAAGAGUUACGGAAGAUUAGAAGUGAGAUAGAUCGUAAGGGCUCAUCA